rnacentral:rRNA from 1 species
GACGAACGCUGGCGGCGUGCCUAAUACAUGCAAGUCGAGCGAAGUUUUUCUGGUGCUUGCACUAGAAAAACUUAGCGGCGAACGGGUGAGUAACACGUAAAGAACCUGCCUCAUAGACUGGGACAACUAUUGGAAACGAUAGCUAAUACCGGAUAACAGUAUUUCUCGCAUGAGAGAUAUUUAAAAGUUGGUUAUGCUAACACUAUGAGAUGGCUUUGCGGUGCAUUAGCUAGUUGGUGGGGUAAAGGCCUACCAAGGCGACGAUGCAUAGCCGACCUGAGAGGGUGAUCGGCCACACUGGGACUGAGACACGGCCCAGACUCCUACGGGAGGCAGCGGUAGGGAAUCUUCCGCAAUGGGCGAAAGCCUGACGGAGCAACGCCGCGUGAGUGAAGAAGGAUUUCGGUUCGUAAAGCUCUGUUGUUAGGGAAGAAUGGAUAUGUAGUAACUAUACAUAUAA